GGAGCUGUGGCGUAGUGGGAAAAGCUGCCACUUGCAGUGCCGGCAUCCCAUAUAGGCCGGGUUCAAGUCCCGGCUGCUCCA
rnacentral:tRNA from 1 species